ACAUACGACCAUAGGGUGUGGAGAACAGGGCUUCCCGUCCGCUCAGCCGUACUUAAGCCACACGCCGGCCGGUUAGUAGUUGGGUGGGUGACCACCAGCGAAUCCCGGCUGUCGUAUGUU
rfam:Aspergillus clavatus NRRL 1 1099423829798 genomic scaffold, whole genome shotgun sequence.